CCUACGGGUGGCAGCAGUGAGGAAUUUUGGUCAAUGGACGCAAGUCUGAACCAGCCAUGCCGCGUGCAGGAAGACAGCUCUAUGAGUUGUAAACUGCUUUUAUAUGAGAGUAAACUCAUAUACGUGUAUCUCUCUGGAAGUAUCGUACGAAUAAUGUGCGGCGAACUCCGUGCCAACAGCGGUGUUAAUCCGGAGGAGUCAAGCGUUAUCCGGAUUUAUUGGGUUUAAAGGGUGCGUAGGUGGUGUGAUAAGUGAGAGGUGAAAGUACGUGGCUCAACUGCUGAAUUGCGUAUGAUACUGUUAGGCUAGAGAGUAGUUGAGGUAGGCGGAAUGCAUGGUGUAGCAGUGAAAUGCUUAGAGAUC
rnacentral:rRNA from 1 species